AGCAGUCGCCACGGUAAUACAGAGGGUGCGAGCGUUAAUCGGAUUUACUGGGCGUAAAGCGUGCGUAGGCGGCUUCUUAAGUCGGAUGUGAAAUCCCUGAGCUUAACUUAGGAAUUGCAUUCGAUACUGGGAAGCUAGAGUAUGGGAGAGGAUGGUAGAAUUCCAGGUGUAGCGGUGAAAUGCGUAGAGAUCUGGAGGAAUACCGAUGGCGAAGGCAGCCAUCUGGCCUAAUACUGACGCUGAGGUACGAAAGCAUGGGGAGCAAACAGGAUUAGAUACCCGUGUAGUCCCUGUCUCUUAUAC
rnacentral:rRNA from 1 species